rnacentral:rRNA from 1 species
GACAGAGGAUGCAAGCGUUAUCCGGAAUGAUUGGGCGUAAAGCGUCUGUAGGUGGUUUAUUAAGUCUACUGUUAAAGAUCAGGGCUUAACCCUGAGCAGGCAAUAGAAACUAAUAGGCUAGAGUACGGUAGGGGCAGAGGGAAUUCCGGUGUAGCGGUGAAAUGCGUAGAGAUCGGGAGGAACACCAGCGGCGAAGGCGGCAAACUGGAUAGGCACUGACACUCAACAACGAAAAGCGUGGGGAGCAAACAGG